GGGGAUUUAGCUCAGUGGUAGAGCACUUGCCUAGCAAGCGAAAGGCCCUGGGUUCGGUCCCCAGCUCCA
rfam:Rattus norvegicus chromosome 14, whole genome shotgun sequence.